GAUGAACGCUAGCUACAGGCUUAACACAUGCAAGUCGAGGGGCAGCAUGAACUUAGCUUGCUAAGUUUGAUGGCGACCGGCGCACGGGUGAGUAACACGUAUCCAACCUGCCGAUGACUCGGGGAUAGCCUUUCGAAAGAAAGAUUAAUACCCGAUGGCAUAGUUCUUCCGCAUGGUAGAACUAUUAAAGAAUUUCGGUCAUCGAUGGGGAUGCGUUCCAUUAGGUUGUUGGCGGGGUAACGGCCCACCAAGCCUUCGAUGGAUAGGGGUUCUGAGAGGAAGGUCCCCCACAUUGGAACUGAGACACGGUCCAAACUCCUACGGGAGGCAGCAGUGAGGAAUAUUGGGUCAAAUGGAACGAGAGUCUGAACCAGCCAAGUAGCGUGAAGGAAGAAGGAUCUAUGGUUUGUAAACUUCUUUUAUAGGGGAAUAAAGUGAGGACGUGUCCUUUUUGUAUGUACCUAUGAAUAAGCAUCGG
rnacentral:rRNA from 1 species